GGAAUAUGCAAAUACUUUCAAAGUUAAUAUCAUGGCCUGUGUCACGGAGGUCCGCACAGGAUUGAAGUACAACAGAACAGUGAUGGUCACUUUAGUGGACAGGAAAUAUCGCCUUGCCUUCAUCAACUACCCCACUGUGCUGAAACCGACUCUAAUGUUCUCAGCACAGCUGAAGAUAUCCACGUACGACGAGUCCCCGCUGACCGUGACGGAUCAGAUGAAGAACGUGACCGUGACAG